rnacentral:rRNA from 1 species
GUCGCAAGACCAAAGAGGGGGACCCUCGGGCCUCUUGCCAUCGGAUGUGCCCAGAUGGGAUUAGCUUGUUGGUGGGGUAACGGCUCACCAAGGCGACGAUCCCUAGCUGGUCUGAGAGGAUGACCAGCCACACUGGAACUGAGACACGGUCCAGACUCCUACGGGAGGCAGCAGUGGGGAAUAUUGCACAAUGGGCGCAAGCCUGAUGCAGCCAUGCCGCGUGUAUGAAGAAGGCCUUCGGGUUGUAAAGUACUUUCAGCGGGGAGGAAGGGAGUAAAGUUAAUACCUUUGCUCAUUGACGUUACCCGCAGAAGAAGCACCGGCUAACUCCGUGCCAGCAGCCGCGGUAAUACGGAGGGUGCAAGCGUUAAUCGGAAUUACUGGGCGUAAAGCGCACGCAGGCGGUUUGUUAAGUCAGAUGUGAAUCCCCGGGCUCAACCUGGGAACUGCAUCUG